ACGCACGCUGGCGGCGUGCUUAACACAUGCAAGUCGAACGGAAAGGCCCUGCUUUUGUGGGGUGCUCGAGUGGCGAACGGGUGAGUAACACGUGAGUAACCUGCCCUUGACUUUGGGAUAACUUCAGGAAACUGGGGCUAAUACCGGAUAGGAGCUCCUGCUGCAUGGUGGGGGUUGGAAAGUUUCGGCGGUUGGGGAUGGACUCGCGGCUUAUCAGCUUGUUGGUGGGGUAGUGGCGUACCAAGGCUUUGACGGGUAGCCGGCCUGAGAGGGUGACCGGCCACAUUGGGACUGAGGUACGGCCCAGACUCCUACGGGAGGCAGCAGUGGGGAAUAUUGCACAAUGGGCGGAAGCCUGAUGCAGCAACGCCGCGUGCGGGAUGACGGCCUUCGGGUUGUAAACCGCUUUCGCCUGUGACGAAGCGUGAGUGACGGUAAUGGGUAAAGAAGCACCGGCUAACUACGUGC
rnacentral:rRNA from 1 species